UACGGAGGGUGCAAGCGUUGUUCGGAAUUAUUGGGCGUAAAGAGCACGUAGGCGGAUUUGUAUGUCGAUUGUGAAAGCCCAGGGCUCAACCUUGGAAUUGCAGUCGAAACUGCGGAUCUUGAAUACUUGAGAGGGUGGGGGAAUUCCUGGUGGAGAAGUGAAAUUCGUAGAGAUCAGGAUGAACAUCGGAGGCGAAGGCGCCUGCCUGGCAAUGUAUUGACGCUGAGGUGCGAAAGCGUGGGGAGCAAACAGG
rnacentral:rRNA from 1 species